rnacentral:rRNA from 1 species
GAAGCCCCCCUCAAGAUGAGAUUUCCCAUAGCGUCAAGCUAGUAAGAUCCCUGAAAGAUGAUCAGGUUGAUAGGUCAGAGGUGGAAGCGUGGCGACAUGUGGAGCUGACUGAUACUAAUCGAUCGAGGACUUAACCAU